CACAUGUUCUUCCAGCUGAGCCAGCCAGGCGCCCCAGGCUCUUCUAUCCAGCUCAUCUUUUAACUCAGGCUGAUGGAAACCAAAAGCACCCCUCAAGUGAUAGUGACCACCCUGACAAGACCUCCUGCCAACCCAGGCCAUCCAGACCAAUAUGACCAUAAC